rnacentral:rRNA from 1 species
CCGGUUGAUCCUGCCGGAGGCCACCGCUAUCGGGGUUCGAUUAAGCCAUGCGAGUCGAGAGAAUUAGAUUCUCGGCGAAAGGCUGAGUAACACGUGGGUAACCUGCCCUAAGGUGGAGGAUAAUCCCGGGAAACUGGGGGUAAUACUCCAUAGGCAAUAGGCACUGGAACGUCCUUUUGCCAAAAGCUCCGGCGCCUUAGGAUGGGCCCGCGGCAGAUUAGGCAGUUGGUAGGGUAAUGGCCUACCAAACCUUUGAUCUGUAGGGGUCGUGAGAGCGAUAGCCCCCAGACGGGUACUGAGACAUAGACCCGAGUCCUACGGGAUGCAGCAGGCGCGAAAACUCCGCAAUGCACGAAAGUGUGACGGGGGAACCCCGAGUGCUCCAGCUUUUGCUGGAGCUUUUCUGGAGUGCAAAAAGCUCCAGGAAUAAAGGUGGGGUAAGACCGGUGCCAGCCGCCGCGGUAACACCGGCCACCUGAGUGGGGGCCACUUUUAUUGGGCCUAAAGCGUUCGUAGCCGGGCCAGUAGGUCUCCAGGUAAAUCUGGCAGCUUAACUGUCAGAAUUCUGGAGAUACCGCUGGUCUUGGGACCGGGAAGGGUUGCGAGUACUUCAGGGGUAGGGGUGAAAUCUUCUGAUCCCUGGGGGACUACCUGUGGUGAAAACGCGCAACUGGAACGGAUUCGACGGUGAGGGACGAAACCCUGGGGAGCAAACGGGAUUAGAUACCCCGGUAGUCCAGGGCGUAAACGAUGCCCGCUUGGUGUUGCAUACUCUACGUGGGUAUGCUGUGCCGUAAUGUAGAUGUUGAGCGGGCCGCCUGGGAAGUACGGUCGCAAGGCUGAAACUUAAAGGAAUUGACGGGGGAGCACUACAAGGGGUGGAGCCUGCGGUUUAAUUGGAUUCAACGCCGGG